rnacentral:rRNA from 1 species
UACAGAGAUGGCGAGCGUUACUCGGAUUUAUUGGGUGUAAAGGGCAGGUAGGCGGCUAUGCAAGUUGGGGGUGAAAUCCUGUGGCUCAACCACAGAGCUGCCUUCAAAACUGCAUAGCUUGAGGCUAGAGGAGGAGAGCGGAAUUCCCGGUGUAAGAGUGAAAUCUGUAGAUAUCGGGAGGAACACCAGUGGCGAAAGCGGCUCUCUAGUCUAGCCCUGACGCUAAGCUGCGAAAGCUAGGGGAGCAAACAGGAUUAGAAACCCGUGUAGU